GGCGAAGAAGUGGAUUUAAACACUCCUAUCUGGUGACUUGGUUCAUUUUCUUUGCAGCUGAUGAUAACAUCUGGCAGUAUCCAAAGUUCCAAUCCCAAUGAAAAUGUGAAUAGUUCUCAUACUGCCUCUGAAGAAGUUGACUUUUUCCAGAAAGUUCUUGAGUUCCCUGGAGAUGCCGGUUCGGUGGCAGGGGAAAGGCAAC